rnacentral:rRNA from 1 species
CAGCAGCCGCGGUAAUACGUAGGUGGCAAGCGUUGUCCGGAUUUAUUGGGCGUAAAGCGCGCGCAGGCGGUUCUUUAAGUCUGAUGUGAAAGCCCCCGGCUCAACCGGGGAGGGUCAUUGGAAACUGGGGAACUUGAGUGCAGAAGAGAAGAGCGGAAUUCCACGUGUAGCGGUGAAAUGCGUAGAGAUGUGGAGGAACACCAGUGGCGAAGGCGGCUCUUUGGUCUGUAACUGACGCUGAGGCGCGAAAGCGUGGGGAGCAAACAGGAUUAGAUACCCUGGUAGUCCACGCCGUAAACGAUGAGUGCUAAGUGUUGGAGGGUUUCCGCCCUUCAGUGCUGCAGCUAACGCAUUAAGCACUCCGCCUGGGGAGUACGGUCGCAAGACUGAAACUCAAAGGAAUUGAC